rnacentral:lncRNA from 1 species
UAGAUUUAACCUUACAUCAUUUGGGAACUACUUUUCUCUCCAAUGUCAUCAGAUACAGGGUGGCAGUGUUUGUGUUUCUUGACAGCUAUAUAAAGGUGCAACAUUUAAGUAUUCAGUUUAAGAAGAAAUCCGCAUGUUAAUAAAUAAUGACAGACCUAAGAUAGUGCAGGAUAUCUGCCAACCAGAGUAGUAAUCGAUGACUAUCAACAACCUCAAAAAAGAGAGAAGGUAAACUUUGUAGCAGGUGCUUUAUAAAGCAAGCUUGAACUACAACUUUAUCUGAUUUGUGGAAAAGUUCUCAUUGAUCUGCAAAUGCCAUUUUCUGUAGAGGCUCUUACCUGCAACCUCCUAAAUUAUUU